GCCCAGGUGGCGGAAUUGGCAGACGCGCUAGCUUGAGGUGCUAGUUCUCCUAACGGGGAUUGGAGGUUCAAGUCCUCUCCUGGGCACCA
rnacentral:tRNA from 1 species